AGAAGAGAGCUAAAAUGGCGGAGGUUGUGAGUCCCUGCUUUGACUCUGUUUGCAAACUCUUGUUUCAUCGUUUAAGCGAUUAAAUCUCUCGAGUAGACGCUGUCUCUUUAGAUGCGAGGGCAAAAUAGCACUUUAUGGACUUCCACAGAGGACAUCAUGUUUAAUACGGUUCCGGAAAAAUCCAGUCAGAAGUUGUUCACGGAGUUUUCACAAUAACUGCUUCUCAUGAACCGAAGCUGGACGUCUCCUCCUGAAAGUUGGAUUAACGUUACUGUGCACUUCUGGAUCACAGGCUAUUCGCAGCUGGACACAUCCUUCUACACUGUAUGCAAACAUGCAACAUCAUAACACACAGUACAAGGAGUCAGACUGGCAUAUGAGGAGCAAAGGAACCCAGACAGUAGCAUCGUUUCACAAUGUUUCCAUCACCAUCAUCAGUGGAUGCCUUUGCCGUCCAUAGCCUGAGAUUUCAGAUUUGCAGCAAAAAAAAUUGAUUUUCUCAUUUAUUGGAAUGCUAUGCAGGUUGUACCUUGCAGCCAUCCAUUACAAUGUCACCAAGCCGUAACAAAAGCAGGAGAGGAAAAGUACAAGGCUAUGUUCCCAAAACACACAAAUGACAUACCUUAUGUGGAUGAUGUGAUCAGGCUUCUGUUUGCUGAGGUAUUUGAAGAUAAGCUGAAGGAAACCCCGAUUCCAAUGGACCUGGCAUCACAGUUUGAGAGACCUUCAAAGGAGGACGUGAUUGCAUGCCAUCUUGAGUGCAG